rnacentral:rRNA from 1 species
AUGAAGUCGGAAUCGCUAGUAAUCGCGAAUCAGAAUGUCGCGGUGAAUACGUUCCCGGGUCUUGUACACACCGCCCGUCACACCAUGGGAGCCGGAAAUGCCCGAAGCCAGUGACCCAACCUUAGGGAGGGAGCUGUCGAAGGUGGAGCCGGUAACUGGGGUGAAGUCGUAACAAGGUACC